rnacentral:rRNA from 1 species
GUGGGGGAUGAAGAUCUUCGGGUUGUAAACUCCUUUCGAGCGGGACGAAAGGGUCCCGGGUGAAUACCCCGGGGGAUGACGGUCCCGAUAAAGAAACCCCCGGCUAACUCCGGGCCACCAGCCGCGGUAAUACGGGGGGGGCAAGCGUUGUUCGGAAUUACUGGGCGUAAAGGGCGCGUAGGCGGCCAUCUAAGUCGGACGUGAAAUCCCCCGGCUCAACUUGGGAACUGCGUCUGAUACUGGAUGGCUUGAAUUCGGGAGAGGGAUGCGGAAUUCCAGGUGUAGCGGUGAAAUGCGUAGAUAUCUGGAGGAACACCGGUGGCGAAGGCGGCAUCCUGGACCGGCACUGACGCUGAUGCGCGAAAGCCAGGGGAGCAAACGGGAUUAGAUACCCCGGUAGUCCUCGCCCUAAACGAUGAAUGCUUGGUGUGGCGGGUAUCGAUCCCUGCCGUGCCGAAGCUAACGCAUUAAGCAUUCGGCUUGGGGAGU